rnacentral:rRNA from 1 species
GAAGCUGGAAUUGCUGUAAUGGCAGGUCAGCAUACUGCCGUGAAUACGUUCCCGGGCCUUGUACACACCGCCCGUCACACCAUGAGAGUUGGAAAUACCCGAAGCCUGUGAGCUAACUUAAAGAGGCAGCAGUCGAAGGUAGAGCCAAUGAUUGGGGUGAAGUCGUAACAAGGUAGC